GUCCACGCUGUAAACGAUGAAUACUAGGUAUUGAAGGAUUUGACCCCUACAGUGCCGUAGCUAACGCGUUAAGUAUUCCGCCUGGGAAGUACGGUCGCAAGACUAAAACUCAAAGGAAUUGACGGGGGCCCGCACAAGCGGUUGAUUAUGUGGUUUAAUUCGAAGCAACGCGCAAAACCUUACCAAGGCUUGAAAUCCCACGAACCUGCUUUAAACGGCGGGGUGCUCUUCGGAGAAUGUGGUGACAGGCGCUGCAUGGCUGUCGU
rnacentral:rRNA from 1 species